rnacentral:rRNA from 1 species
AUUCGUGAUGACCAGGAUGUUUUCUUGGCAGCUAAAGCGGGCACCCUUGAGCAUCUCUCCAGUCCGUUACAUGCGGAGGCGCUGGCAUGUGUCAAGGCUACAGAAGCGAGCACCGAACUGGGCGUCCAUAGGCUGGUGCUGGAGUCUGAUUGCCAAGUUCUGGUGAAGGCGCUGCACACUGAUGAGUAUGAGCGAGCGAUGGUUGGUGUUCUUCUACGGGAGACACGCAGUUUGUGCCAUGCAAACUUUCAGGCAUUUAAGUUCAGUUUUUGUAGUCGAAAUUGUAAUAAGGCUGCCCAUGAACUAGCUGCCUACAACUUUAGGGUAGGAGCUAUUGAUCUCUCCUGGAUUGAUCAGGCUCCAGACUUUAUCUCUGCUAUGGUCACCAGCGAUAUG